CAGUUGAAACUAUUUUCUUUUCUAAGACCAUUGGUGAAUUUGAAACUGAAAUGAACAUAAUGGUUGACAUUGCCGGAGCUUGAGCAGCUUGGUUCGGAGACUUCAAUAAGGUAGCUAGGUCAAAGAAAGUUGAGCCGUAAACUCCUGUUCUAGAAAACUCGUCCGGAAGAGCAAAGGAUGCAUGUACUGAAAAGACGAGACUCAUCGUGACAGUUAUCGGCUUGUUGAAAGUGAUGACGAGCAUCGGCUUCCCCAAACAAACAAUGACAAGCAGAAAUAAGCGUGUGGCAUGGACCUUUGGCGAUGUAAUUAGCAGUCGAGGCAGCGUGUACACAAAGGUCGGAAGAGAUGAG
rnacentral:lncRNA from 1 species